rnacentral:rRNA from 1 species
GAUGAACGCUGGCGGCGUGCCUAAUACAUGCAAGUCGAGCGAACAGACGAGGAGCUUGCUCCUCUGACGUUAGCGGCGGACGGGGGAGUAACACGUGGAUAACCUACCUAUAAGACUGGGAUAACUUCGGGAAACCGGAGCUAAUACCGGAUAAUAUAUUGAACCGCAUGGUUCAAUAGUGAAAUACGGUUUUGCUGUCACUUAUAGAUGGAUCCGCGCCGCAUUAGCUAGUUGGUAAGGUAACGGCUUACCAAGGCAACGAUGCGUAGCCGACCUGAGAGGGUGAUCGGCCACACUGGAACUGAGACACGGUCCAGACUCCUACGGGAGGCAGCAGUAGGGAAUCUUCCGCAAUGGGCGAAAGCCUGACGGAGCAACGCCGCGUGAGUGAUGAAGGUCUUCGGAUCGUAAAACUCUGUUAUUAGGGAAGAACAAAUGUGUAAGUAACUAUGCACGUCUUGACGGUACCUAAUCAGAAAGCCACGGCUAACUACGUG